rnacentral:rRNA from 1 species
GACGAACGCUGGCGGCGUGCCUAAUACAUGCAAGUCGAGCGAACAGACGAGGAGCUUGCUCCUCUGACGUUAGAGGCGGACGGGUGAGUAACAUGUGGAUAACCUACCUAUAAGACUGGGAUAACUUCGGGAAACCGGAGCUAAUACCGGAUAAUAUAUCGAAUCGCAUGGUUCAAUAGUGAAAGACGGUUUUGCUGUCACUUAUAGACGGAUACGCGCCGCAUUAGCUAGUUGGUAAGGUAACGGAUUACCAAGGCAACGAGGCGUAGCCGACCUGAAAGGGUCGUCCGACAGACGGUAUCUGAGACACGGUCCAGACUCCGACAGGAAGCAGCGGUAGGGAAUCUUCCGCAAGGGACGAGUGCGUGACGGUGCAACGCCGCGUAAAGGAUGAUGCACUACGGAUCGGAGAACUCUGUUAGUAGGAGGGAUCUAAUGUGUAAUUAACUAUGCACAUCUUGACAGUACCGGGUCAGAAAGCCACGGCUAACUACGUG